rnacentral:rRNA from 1 species
GAGUUUGAUCCUGGCUCAGGAUGAACGCUGGCGGCGUGCCUAACACAUGCAAGUCGAACGGGGCUAGGAAAGCUUGCUUUCCGAUGCCUAGUGGCGGACGGGUGAGUAACGCGUGAGUAACCUGCCUUUCAGAGGGGAAUAACGUUCUGAAAAGAACGCUAAUACCGCAUAAUGUACAGCUUUCGCAUGGAAGCAGUACCAAAGGAGCAAUCCGCUGAGAGAUGGACUCGCGUCCGAUUAGCUAGUUGGUGGGUAAAGGCCUACCAAGGCGAUGAUCGGUAGCCGGACUGAGAGGUUGAACGGCCACAUUGGGACUGAGACACGGCCCAGACUCCUACGGGAGGCAGCAGUGGGGAAUAUUGCACAAUGGGGGAAACCCUGAUGCAGCGACGCCGCGUGAAGG